rnacentral:rRNA from 1 species
UUGAACGCUGGCGGCAGGCCUAACACAUGCAAGUCGAGCGGUAGCACAGAGAGCUUGCUCUCGGGUGACGAGCGGCGGACGGGUGAGUAAUGUCUGGGAAACUGCCUGAUGGAGGGGGAUAACUACUGGAAACGGUAGCUAAUACCGCAUAACGUCGCAAGACCAAAGUGGGGGACCUUCGGGCCUCAUGCCAUCAGAUGUGCCCAGAUGGGAUUAGCUAGUAGGUGGGGUAAUGGCUCACCUAGGCGACGAUCCCUAGCUGGUCUGAGAGGAUGACCAGCCACACUGGAACUGAGACACGGUCCAGACUCCUACGGGAGGCAGCAGUGGGGAAUAUUGCACAAUGGGCGCAAGCCUGAUGCAGCCAUGCCGCGUGUGUGAAGAAGGCCUUCGGGUUGUAAAGCACUUUCAGCGGGGAGGAAGGCGAUAAGGUUAAUAACCUUGUCGAUUGACGUUACCCGCAGAAGAAGCACCGGCUAACUCCGUGCCAGCAGCCGCGGUAAUACGGAGGGUGCAAGCGUUAAUCGGAAUUACUGGGCGUAAAGCGCACGCAGGCGGUCUGUCAAGUCGGAUGUGAAAUCCCCGGGCUCAACCUGGGAACUGCAUUCGAAACUGGCAGGCUAGAGUCUUGUAGAGGGGGGUAGAAUUCCAGGUGUAGCGGUGAAAUGCGUAGAGAUCUGGAGGAAUACCGGUGGCGAAGGCGGCCCCCUGGACAAAGACUGACGCUCAGGUGCGAAAGCGUGGGGAGCAAACAGGAUUAGAUACCCUGGUAGUCCACGCCGUAAACGAUGUCGAUUUGGAGGUUGUGCCCUUGAGGCGUGGCUUCCGGAGCUAACGCGUUAAAUCGACCGCCUGGGAGUACGGCCGCAAGGUUAAAACUCAAAUGAAUUGACGGGGGCCCGCACAAGCGGUGGAGCAUGUGGUUUAAUUCGAUGCAACGCGAAGAACCUUACCUGGUCUUGACAUCCACAGAACUUUCCAGAGAUGGAUUGGUGCCUUCGGGAACUGUGAGACAGGUGCUGCAUGGCUGUCGUCAGCUCGUGUUGUGAAAUGUUGGGUUAAGUCCCGCAACGAGCGCAACCCUUAUCCUUUGUUGCCAGCGGUUAGGCCGGGAACUCAAAGGAGACUGCCAGUGAUAAACUGGAGGAAGGUGGGGAUGACGUCAAGUCAUCAUGGCCCUUACGACCAGGGCUACACACGUGCUACAAUGGCAUAUACAAAGAGAAGCGACCUCGCGAGAGCAAGCGGACCUCAUAAAGUAUGUCGUAGUCCGGAUUGGAGUCUGCAACUCGACUCCAUGAAGUCGGAAUCGCUAGUAAUCGUAGAUCAGAAUGCUACGGUGAAUACGUUCCCGGGCCUUGUACACACCGCCCGUCACACCAUGGGAGUGGGUUGCAAAAGAAGUAGGUAGCUUAACCUUCGGGAGGGCGCUUACCACUUUGUGAUUCAUGACUGGGGUG